AUGUCCCUGGCAGCCUCGGCGGGCCGGGGCCCCGGGGCCGUGUGGUCCCCGACGCACGUGCAGGUGACGGUAUUGCAGGCGCGGGGGUUGAGGGCCAAGGGUCCCGGGGGCACGAGCGACGCGUACGCGGUGAUCCAGGUGGGCAAGGAGAAGUACGCCACCUCUGUGUCGGAGCGCAGCCUGGGCGCGCCCGUGUGGCGCGAAGAGGCCACCUUCGAGCUGCCGCCGCUGCUGUCGGCUGAGGCCGCGCCCGCCGCCGCCGCCACCCUGCAGCUCACCGUGCUGCACCGCGCGCUGCUCGGCCUCGACAAGUUCCUGGGCCGCGCCGAGGUGGACCUGCGGGGGCUGCACCAGGACCAGGGCCGCCGGAGGACCCAGUGGUACACCUUGAAAUCCAAACCGGGGAAGAAGGAUAAAGAGCGAGGAGAAAUUGAGGUUGACAUCCAGUUUAUGAGAAACAACAUGACUGCGAGCAUGUUUGACCUUUCCAUGAAAGACAAGUCUCGGAACCCGUUUGGGAAACUGAAGGACAAGAUCAAGGGCAAGAAUAAGGAGAGCGCGUCUGAUACGGUGUCAGCCAUCGUCCCCCACGUGACGCCCUUGGCUGACAGUGAUGACGAGUCUCCUUCCAAAGACAAGAAGAAGAAGUCAAAGAUCAAGACCUUGUUUUCCAAGUCCAACCUGCAGAGAACACCGCUUUCCCAGUCCAUGUCCGUCCUGCCGACCUCAAAGUCAGACAAAGUGAUGCUUCGUCCUGGAGACUUCGAGUCCCGGUGGGAGGACGAUGACGAGGACAAGCCCUCCUCUGCCUCGGAUGUCUUGUCUCACAAGAGGACAGCAAGCGCGGAUCCUAAGCAGCUGAACCAGGUCAGCUUCAGUCUCCCCAAGAAGGAAGGCCUCUCCUUCCUGGGCGGCCUCCGGUCUAAGAACGAUGUCCUCUCCCGCUCGAACGUCUGUAUCAAUGGGAACCACGUCUACGUGGAGCCGCCCGAGGCCAAGACGGAGACCAAGGACAACUCCCCGUCCCCCUCCCCAUCCCCUCAAGACCUCAGGAAGAAGCGGUGGUUCUCAUCUAUGGAAAACCUGGCCUCUCGGCCUUGGAGGGAGCCUGGGGAAGUAGGCGCGGUGCCUUCUGAGUCUUCCACAAAGGACGCCCUCAAGUCUAUGUCCCUGCCGUCCUACCAGCCACAGGUCAGCAGGGACCUUGGGGAGAAUGCGGCCCCAGCAACCUUGGAGGCUGCAAAGGAAACCAAAGAGAGCAAGAAACAGGAGAACAAGAAGCCGGCUCUGCUCUUCCUGGUGCCGGGAAGGAAGGACACGGCCAAGGGCAGCGAGGGCGAAAGCCCCCCUGCUGCUGCCUCUGGGAAGGAGAGGGAGGGAGUGCCCGCUGCGCUCAGGGCCGGGGAGCACCAGCCGGGGCCUGCCGAUGACCUUGUGAAGAGAUCGGACAAAGAGGCUGUGCCUGUUGCCUCUGGACUAGGCCAAGCGCCGAACCCCUUUGAAGACGAGCAGCUCCCAGAACCAGAAGCUGACCCAGAGCCCAAGGCUGCACCUGUCCCACCUGUUUUCUCGCCCAGGGCUCCCCAGACCAGAGCUGUGAAACCCCGACUUCAUCCCGUGAAGCCGAUGAACACCACAGCCCCCAGGGUCUCUAACUCCACCUCGGGAACUGCCGCGAUCGUGAGUGAGAACUUGAUCAACGAAGCCGGGAUGAAGAAAUACAAGCCCUCGGACCCUGCAUUUGCCUACGUGCAGCUGACCCACGACGAGCUCAUUCAGCUGGUCCUCAAACAGAAGGAAACGAUCAGCAAGAAGGAAUGUCAGGUGCGCCAACUGGAAGACUACAUCGACAACCUGCUGGUCAGGGUCAUGGAGGAGACCCCGAACAUCCUCCGGGUUCCCUCUCAGGUCGGCAAAAAAGCAGGAAAGAUGUGA
rnacentral:lncRNA from 1 species